ACCUUAGAACAUUGAAAGGCUAGAAUUAGUAAACAACAACUUUGUUUGAGUCCAACAUGUGCACAGGGGCAAGAGGGGUGUUUUAAUUACAAACAUAUGUGCUGAUUCUCUGUUGUCAAGUCGACACAAAUUUCCAACGGAGGAAAUUUUUAGCUAUAUUUUAACAAACAUUAUAACGUUAAUUUAACUUAUUUCUGUUAUAUUUUAUAGGAAAAUUUAAAAUAAAAAGUAUAAAUACUACAAUUAACCUAUUUUAAGAAUAAAUAUAAUAUCCUUAAGCAAAAAAAAACAAAAUUAUUAACAUUCUUAUCCCUAAAACUGCUUCUAAAAAAUUUGAAGCGACAACACCGGAGCUUAAGCGCCUAAACCAUACGCGUUGUGUCAUCUGUCAAACGGCUCUUUGCUUAUAUUCGGGAUUCGUGUAUUUUCUUUAAUUUUUGGUUUAAAAUGGAAAAAAGGCCACGUUUUAGUGUUUUUUUAAAUUGCUAGGAUGGCAAAAACUUGUGUCGUUUGUCCCGCAUCAUGGUGAUAAACGUGAUUCAAGCCGAUCUUUUCACGAGUAAGUACCGAUACUUUCAUAACAUCACAUCAUGGGGUAACCAUCAUCAUAAACGUAGAAUAGGGGAUCUUAUAGAUAUAAACCUAAUAAAAAUUUGAAUGUGAAAGUGUGCGUAAAAUACCAACAUAUUUAUAUUUUUAAAUCUAAAUAUUUUUUUGAACAUAUUCAUCUAUUAAUAGGCUAUAAAAGAUAUAAAACUAGAAUUUUGUCCCUGGUUUUAUUACAGGAUUUUAUGUUUUUUUUGUUGUUUUGGCAGAAAAAAUGCAUAAUACCUAUGUACCUAUCUAUAUAUAGUUUGAUAUCUAUGUAUAAAGUUAAUUUUGUCUUUCUUUAAAAUUUGUUCCAUAAUUUUUUUUUGUUUUACCUUAUUGCAACUUACAAUAAUAUAUAUAGUAAUUGGCACCACAUAUUAAUUUAUUACUGUAAUUUUUUUCUGCUUUUUGAUUAAAUAUCAAAUACUUAUUAUAGAUUGCCCAAUGAUUAUGCCCAAAGGGAACAAUGGGUUUCAUUAAUGGAAAUCAACACAUUUAAAAAGAACAUAUUUGUUUGUUCAGAUCACAUCCUUAGAAGUGAUAUAAGGGAGAUAAUAUUAUCAGUAGCCAGACUUUAUUAAAAAAAUCAGCUCUACCUCAAAGGAUUUCUGAUGCACUGGUUAAAAACACAGCAGCCAAUAACUCAGUUAAUUUACCAAGUGAUUUACCCUUCAAAGCUACAGGGGUAGCUUUUCUGAAGAGUGCAAAAACUUCUUUAGCUUUCAAAAUGGUAUAUAGUACAAACAGUGAAGCUAAUAUAGACAUAUCUGAUCAUUCAUCAUCAACAAUAACUGCAUCUGAGAAUUAUAGUUCUACAGUAACCGUGGAGUCUAGGUCAAUAAUUACUAUUUCUCAUCCAAGCCGUUUUUGUUUAACUGCUACACAUUCCCUGACUCUGCCAAGGAAAAGGGUAAAAUCAAAAUGAUAUCCUGAGGACCUAAGCACUGAGGAUUCCACCGUUUCAAGAGCUUAAUCACUUGUCACCAGAUUAUGGAAAAAAAAUAAAGAACAAAAAAUUAAAAUUCGAAGAUUGCAACAAGCAAAUUUGCGCCAAAGAAAUUAAAUUAGAUGUCUCAAGUCAUUAUUAAAAUACUUACAUGAAAUAAUAACAUGAUUUUAUGGAAAAGCCCAACAUACUACAUAUUUUAUUUGACUUGUAAAAGCACUUGUUUGUAUAUUACUACUAAUAAACUCUCUAAUCUAAUCUAUUGUACAUAGUCUUUAUUCUUAGCUUUGUUUUUUAGUAUAAAUUAAUAUGAUAUAAUAUUUGGUAUUAGGUAUUAUAUAGGUCACUAUUAAAUGUCUCAAAACCAUUAUACAGGCUAAAUACUCAUAAUACAAAUCUUAUAACCUACAAAAAACCUGCAACUCCUUCACAAUUUGAACAUCCUUGUAGUUUUAACUUUUUCGGCUAAAGCAAUACUGUCCCUUUGAAAAAGUCAGCAGCAUAGAAGUAUAUAUUAUGUGAUGUAAGUAAGUAAUGUAAAACUGAGUU
rnacentral:lncRNA from 1 species